AAAAGAAAACAGUUCCAUGCUACAAACAGUCUCCAAUUUGAACCUACACAGGUGGUUUACAAUUUGAACAUUAUGUGUACCCAAUUGUCUGCAGAAGAUUGGCUUAAUGCGAUAAAUAACCAAAUCAGAUGUUCAACGAUCAAUCAGUGGUAGGACCUGCAAAUUACCGAGGCAAGACAGAACAAGGUGAAAGUACAAAUGCGACGAAUACUACUGAAUACGACCAAAAUGAUAGGUCAUCCAAAGUAAGCACAAUUUUAACAGUUCGCUUCGCUGAAUAUCACCAAAUCCAAAUGACACUUGGAAAUAUAGCAUCAAACGUUAGAUAAAGUCUCAUCCAAAGCAAAGGUAAUCUGAGCUUCGAGAUGGCAGUGCAGUAGGUAAGCAGUGACCCAGAAAUGAAGAGUUGAGUUCACACGAAGAUGCGCCCAAUUCCUGACAAGUCACCACACGGCCUGAAUCAUAGAAAUGACAGCGGUAUCAGCUAACCAAAUUUGCACUGAAAGAAAU
rnacentral:lncRNA from 1 species